rnacentral:rRNA from 1 species
GUGCCAGCCGCCGCGGUAAUACAGAGGUGGCUAGCGUUGUUCGGAAUUACUGGGCGUAAAGGGCGCGUAGGCGGCCUUCUCAGUCAGACGUGAAAUCCCCGGGCUUAACUCGGGAACUGCGUCUGAUACUGGAAGGCUGGAGUUCGGGAGAGGGAUGUGGAAUUCCAGGUGUAGCGGUGAAAUGCGUAGAUAUCUGGAGGAACACCGGUGGCGAAGGCGGCAUCCUGGACCGAAACUGACGCUGAUGCGCGAAAGCCAGGGGAGCAAACGGGAUUAGAUACCCCGGUAGUCCUGGCCCUAAACGAUGAGUGCUUGGUGUGGCGGGUAUCGAUCCCUGCCGUGCCGAAGCUAACGCAUUAAGCACUCCGCCUGGGGAGUACGGUCGCAAGGCUGAA